AGUGAACGCUGGCGGCGUGCUUAACACAUGCAAGUCGAACGAGAACGGGUUAUAGCUUGCUAUAACUGUCAGCUAAGUGGCGCACGGGUGAGUAAUAUAUAGUUAAUCUGCCCUAGAGAAAGGGAUAACGUUUGGAAACGAACGCUAACACCUUAUAUGCCUUUAUGUCAUAAGACAGCAAGGGAAAUAUUUAUAGCUUGAAGAUCGGCCUGUACAGUAUCAGUUAGUUGGUGAGGUAAUGGCUCACCAAGACAAUGACGCUUAACUGGUUUGAGAGGAUGAUCAGUCACACUGGAACUGAGACACGGUCCAG
rnacentral:rRNA from 1 species